rnacentral:rRNA from 1 species
GUGAGGAAUAUUGGUCAAUGGACGAGAGUCUGAACCAGCCAAGUCGCGUGAAGGAAGACGGUUCUAUGAAUUGUAAACUUCUUUUGUGCAGGAAUAAAGUGGGUUACGUGUAACCUUUUGUAUGUACUGUACGAAUAAGGAUCGGCUAACUCCGUGCCAGCAGCCGCGGUAAUACGGAGGAUCCGAGCGUUAUCCGUACUUAUUGGGUUUAAAGGGUGCGUAGGUGGAUUGAUAAGUCAGCGGUGAAAGUUUGCAGCUUAACUGUAAAAUUGCCGUUGAAACUGUCGGUCUUGAGUGCAAAUGAGGUAGGCGGAAUGUGUUGUGUAGCGGUGAAAUGCUUAGAUAUAACACAGAACUCCGAUUGCGAAGGCAGCUUACUGGGAUGCAACUGACACUGAUGCACGAAAGCGUGGGUAUCAAACAGGAUUAGAAACCCGGGUAGUCC